CACGUAGGGUGCGAGCGUUGUCCGGAAUUAUUGGGCGUAAAGGGCUCGUAGGCGGUCUGUCGCGUCGGGAGUGAAAACUUACAGCUAAACUGUGAGCGUGCUUCCGAUACGGGCAGACUUGAGGUAUUCAGGGGAGAACGGAAUUCCUGGUGUAGCGGUGAAAUGCGCAGAUAUCAGGAGGAACACCGGUGGCGAAGGCGGUUCUCUGGGAAUAUCCUGACGCUGAGGAGCGAAAGCGUGGGGAGCAAACAGG
rnacentral:rRNA from 1 species